rnacentral:rRNA from 1 species
CCUACGGGAGGCAGCAGUGGGGAAUAUUGCACAAUGGGCGAGAGCCUGAUCCAGCCAUGCCGCGUGUGUGAAGAAGGUCUUCGGAUUGUAAAGCACUUUAAGUUGGGAGGAAGGGUAGUAACUUAAUACGUUGCUACUUUGACGUUACCGACAGAAUAAGCACCGGCUAACUUCGUGCCAGCAGCCGCGGUAAU